rnacentral:rRNA from 1 species
UACGGAGGGGGCUAGCGUUGUUCGGAAUUACUGGGCGUAAAGCGCACGUAGGCGGCUUUGUAAGUUAGAGGUGAAAGCCCGGGGCUCAACUCCGGAAUUGCCUUUAAGACUGCAUCGCUAGAAUUGUGGAGAGGUAAGUGGAAUUCCGAGUGUAGUGGUGAAAUUCGUAGAUAUUCGGAAGAACACCAGUGGCGAAGGCGACUUACUGGACACAUAUUGACGCUGAGGUGCGAAAGCGUGGGGAGCAAACAGG